rnacentral:lncRNA from 1 species
AUAUAUCAUUGAAAAUUUAAUUAACAAUCAAAUUAAGAAGAAAAACGAGAAUUUUAUUUGAGCCAAACUGAGGAUAAUAUCUGGGAGAAAGACUCUCAGAAAGCUCUGAGAUCUGCUCCGCCUGUUAGAAGUCAAAAGCACAGUCAUAUACAUUUUUGACAAAAGAUCAUACAUCAAAAUGACAUGCUGAUAUUUUACAUAAAGUUCACCAAAAAUACAUAGUUUGGGUAAGCAUGUACAGAGUGAGCAGCAAGUCAGUACAACCCCUACAGAGUUGAGAAAGAAUGCUAUUGUUUUGAGAAGUUACACUGCUAAUAUCAGAAGAAAGGGGAAAAAAGUCUUUACAGUCCAGCAAGGAAUUCCCAUCUUUGACAAGUUCUGGAUAGUCUGUAAAGCAGAUGCACACUGCAUAUUGACAGAGGAAGGAAGCCCAAAUGGACACACAGAAUUUUUUGUUUAAAUUUUCUUGUCCUGCCUUAAAAUAAAAUUUUAUUUCAUCAAAUGCAUUCUUAAAUAUGUUUUUAAUGGAGUUCCUGCUGUGGUGCAUUGGGUUAAGAAUCUGACAACAGGGGUUUGGGUCACUCAGGUUCCAAUUCCAGCCCUACACAGUGAAAAGUCCAGUGUUGCUGAAGCUCUGGUUCAGAUUCAGUCCCUGGCCUGAGAACUUCCAUAUGCCCUAAGGGCAAUCAUUAAAAAAAAAAAAUAUUAUAAAUUCUUGUUUACCAAUGGAAAAUCCUUUUUUAUUUCUUCAAUUCUAAAGAUAAAUAUAUUUUAAAAUUUUAAAGAAUUAGAAAUAUUUUAGGAAAUCUCUGUCCAGACAGAGAUUAAACACCAUUAAAUUGUAUCUUUUUUAAAAAGUUAUUUGCGUGUUGGAUUGAGUAAAGCAAUAUUGGCUACGUUUUGGGGGUACCAGAUGUUAUUAUGAUCAGCACUAGGGAAAGAGAGCUGAAAGAUAUGGUUUAGUUCUAAAGCAUAUCAUAGUUUAAUUAGUGAGGCCAGAAAUGUGUAAAAAGUAACGAUACAAAUAGUGAAAGUAGUUUAAAAUGGAAAGCAAAGAUUCUUAAAAUUCUAGCAUAAUUGUAGGUUUUUAUUUGUUUCUCUGUUCAUUUGGGAGGACAGGGCAGUGACAUUACACUUCUCAAAAACUAAAAAAAAUACAAAGGUGGGAGUUCUGUCAUGGCUCAGCAGUAAUGAACCCAACUAGUAUGCAAGAGGAUGCAGGUUCGAUCCCUGGCCUUGCUCAGUGGGUUAAGGAUCAGGUGUUGCCAUGAGCUUCUUAACCCACUGAGCAAGGUCAGGGAUUGAACCUGCAACCUCAUGAUUCCCAGUCGGAUUCGUUAACCACUGCGCCACGACGGGAACUCCUAGUACUUAAUUUUUUUUUUUUUUUUUGUCUUUUUGCCAUUUCUUGGGCUGCUCUCACGGCAUAUGGAGGUUCCCAGGCCAGGGGUCGAAUCGGAGCCUACACCAGAGCCACAGCAACGCGGGAUCCGAGCCGCGUCUGCAACCUACACCACAGCUCACGGCAACGCCGGAUCCUUAACCCACUGAGCAAGGGCAGGGACCGAACCCACAACCUCACGGUUCCUAGUCAGAUUCGUUAACCACUGUGCCACAAUGGGAACUCCUGAAUGUUCAGAGUUCUUAAAAGAAAAGUAUAUUCUGGAGCUCUCUUGUGGGGCAGCAGGGUAAGGAUCCGGUGUUCUACUGUUAGUGGGUGGAGUGUUCAAUAAACACUUAACUAUAGUU